GACGAACGCUGGCGGCGUGCUUAACACAUGCAAGUCGAACGGAGUGGCGAACGCGUGAGUAACAUGUGGGUGACCUGCCCUGCACUUCGGGAUAAGCCAGGGAAACUGGGACUAAUAACGGACAGUGUGGGAUGGGCCCGCGGCCUAUCAGCUUGUAGGUGGGGAAAUGGCCGAACAAGGCGGCGACGGAUAGCCGGCCUGCGAGGGUGGACUGCCGCAUUGGGACUGAGACACGGCCCAGACUCCUACGGGGGGCAGCAGUGUGGACUAUUGCGCAAUGUGCGGAAGCCUGUUGCAGCGGCGCCGCGUGGGGGAUGACGGCCUUCGGGUUGUAAACUCCUGUCUCCUUCGACGCGGUAGCUGGAGAAGAAGCACCGGCUAACUACGUGCCAGCAGCCGCGGUAAUAC
rnacentral:rRNA from 1 species